GAUGAACGCUGGCGGCGUGCCUAAUACAUGCAAGUCGAGCGAACGAAGGAGGAGCUUGCUCCGCUGACGUUGGCGGCGGGCGGGUGAGUAACACGUAGAUAACCGACCGAUAGGACUGGGAUAAGUUCGGGGAACCGGAGCUAAUACCGGAUAAUAUAUUGAACCGCAUGGUUCUAUAGUGAAAGCCGGUUUUGCUGUCACUUAUAGAUGUAUCCGAGCCGCAUUAGCUAGUUGGUAAGGUAACGGCUUACCAAGGCAACGAUGCGUAGCCGACCUGAGAGGAUGAUCGGCCACACUGGAACUGAGACACGGUCCAGACUCCUACGGGAGGCAGCAGUAGGGAAUCUUCCGCAAUGGGCGAAAGCCUGACGCAGCCACGCCGCGUGAGUGAUGAAGGUCUUCGGAUCGUAAAACUCUGUUAUUAGGGAAGAACAACUGUGUAAGUAACUCUGCCUGUCUUGACGGUACCUACUCAGAAAGCACCGGCUAACUACGUG
rnacentral:rRNA from 1 species